AUGGGGAAAAGUGUCUCAGAGUUUGCGGCUGGACACAUUAAGGAACAUGAAUGUGGUGACUGGAUUCCCAGUGGGAUUGAAGAGCUCUAUGUGUCUGAUUGUGUCUCUGAGCACACAGUUUCUCACCUUGGUCUGAAGUUGGACCAUCUAUACCUGGUGGCAGCAGCUACAGGUGUCCGCUCCCAGGUCCAGCUGCAGCAGUCUGGAGCUGAGCUUGGGAGACCUGGGUCCUCAGUGAAGUUGUCUUGCAAGGCUUCUGGCUAUACCUUCACUGACUACUAUAUGCAGUGGGUGAAGCAGAAGCCAGGACAGCAGCUGGAGUGGAUUGGAGGUAUUUAUCCUGGAAAUGGUAAUACUUACUACAAUCAGAAGUUACAGGGCAAGGCCACACUCACUGCAGACAAAUCCUCCAGCACAGCCUACAUGGAGCUCAGCAGCCUGACAUCUGAGGACACCGCGGUCUAUUACUGUGCGAGAGACAGUGUUGCAACCACAUCCCGAGUGUGUCAGAAACCCUGGAGGAGCAAGAAGCUGCCCUGGGACUGA